ACCUAUGACCAACAUACCUGGAAUGUGCCCAAUCUCAUCCGAUCUUUGAAGCUAAGCAAGUUUGAGUCUGGAGAGUGCUUGAAUAGAUGACAUAAUGCAUAUCAGGUGUUAUAGGUG
ensembl:rRNA 5S_rRNA 5S ribosomal RNA